rnacentral:sRNA from 1 species
UUGCGAAAAGUUACACAUAAUACUAAAGAGGAUUUGAACUAUCAUCACUUCUGUCUUUAAGCUCAUAAUAAACCUAUAGAAAAGUGAACUUUAUAAGCAUACAUGUUAUAGGCACACAAAUUUCAGUUUCAAGGACUUCAUCCAAACAAGUCAGGAAAUUACAGAGAUAAUUUUGCUAACAUCAAUAAGAAAUAGUUUAAUGGGGAACGAAAUGGCACAAUACUUGGGAAGGUUUUCACUGAUAUUAAUUCAAUUCACAUUGUUGCCAGAAAUCAGACCAAAGCUAACUCUGCUACAGACUAAGAAAUGACCAAGAUAAUACAACAAGUAGUCGCAAAGUAAUACUCACGCUUUCCUCAAGUGCCGAAUGAUUGCCUCUAAUACUCCAUCAACACGAACGAGUUCUGUAGCAGCUUUAGGAUCUGGGCCCUGCAUGCAAACAUACUAAAGUCAUGUUAAGUUUCCAGAAAGGAAAUCAUGUCAUGGC